GCCUGGCUAGCUCAGUUGGUAGAGCAUGUGACUCUUGAUUUCGGGGUCAUGAGUUUGAGUCCCAUGUUGAGUG
rnacentral:tRNA from 1 species